rnacentral:rRNA from 1 species
ACGUAGGGGGCUAGCGUUGUCCGGAUUUAUUGGGCGUAAAGAGCGUGUAGGCGGCCUGGUAGGUCUGCUGUGAAAACUCGAGGCUCAACCUCGAGAUGUCGGCGGAAACCAUCUGGCUAGAGUCCGGAAGAGGAGAGUGGAAUUCCUGGUGUAGCGGUGAAAUGCGCAGAUAUCAGGAAGAACACCUAUGGCGAAGGCGGGUUGCUGGGCUGACACUGACGCUGAUGCGCGAAAGCUAGGGGAGCGAACGGGA